rnacentral:lncRNA from 1 species
AGUUUCAAGGGAAGCAGUUCUACUUAUGAUGCUUUAGAGUUCGGUGGACCUGUAGAUGCUCGAUGAGGAUGUGGAUCGGAGAGACUGUUAUCUAAACAACGCAGGAACAUACGGCACAAACACACCCACAAGUUUGAUGCAAUUUGAUUCAAGAUUUUCUGGUCCAGAGCAAGCAACGAUCGGAUUCAUGGAGGACAAUCCAUGGGUUCGUGGUUGUCAACCUUGAGCUGCUUCACCGGCCUUUCAUUGUGUUCUCCUCUUGAAGCUAGAACUUGAUUCAACCCUGGAAUAUAAACAAAUAGGAAGCAGGAGUCAACAAUGUACCACUGAGGUUAUGAAGUUAAAAUGAAGGAGAUUUAAAAUCCUAUAAACCUAGUUCUAUAGGAAAUGUUUCUUCUGUCCAUAAAAACACACAAUUUUUUUUUCUUUUCAUAUCUAGGCCACACAUAAAUAUAAUCAAAGAACACAUUUGGAAAUGCCCUUGCAUAUCUAGGAGGCUGAUUAAUCUCCCCUUUACAGAACUUAGCCACCAAAUAUUUCCAAGUGUUGGAAGCAUCCUGCAAAGUGCAAACCAUAUCCCUGCCCCUAAAGAUGCAAACAAGUGGUAUAGUUCUCAUAUUGUCCAUUCUCCCCUGCUUCCCAUACUGAUCAGUGUUCUAUGUUGCAUGAAGGAGCAGAGAAGGAAUGGACCAAUAAAUCUACAAGCAAAACCUGAACCUGACCAAAGAUGAGGCACUGUUGUCUUGCCUGUGGACCACGGUUUCAGCCACAAAGCUGUUAUAUCUGCCCUGAUUCUGAUGGCUGCUUGAGCGAUCAGUAGAACCAUCUACUUAAACCCAAAUGGUAACUGAAGUCUCCAAGAAUAGAAGUCUUAAGAGGAACAAUACUACAUUAAUACAAGAAACAAGUCUAGUGGUUCUUUCACCUGAGUUCGACAUAAAUGAUCUGAUGGUACCUGUUGUUAAUGUCUUUAUAGUCAUUGGCAUCCAAGAAGUCCUGCUCAAGAUUCUCAUUUAGGUAUCCAAAGACCAAAUAAGCAGGGUGCUUGUCUUCAUCAUCAUCAUUGGUGAUGAGGAUAGUAAUUACGAUAAGACCCGGCUGACGUCAGCCGCGCCUCACGCCUCGAUCGACGUGACGGUACCCGAUCAAACGGACCAGAACACAGCCCGAGGCGCAUUAACGCCCGCUCAGGCUCGGCUCUUCACGCCACGCAACGCUAGUGUCAGACGCCACCAUCUGCCCCUGCAAGCGGGCACAUCAAACAACAGCAAGCUUCCCUAUAAAUACCCUCGCGCUCUGAACGAGCAGGAGGAGGGAAGGGGGACCGAGGGAGGAAAGAACACACCAGGGAGUCACCUCAAAC